GAUGAACGCUGGCGGCGUGCCUAAUACAUGCAAGUCGAGCGAACGGACGAGAAGCUUGCUUCUCUGAUGUUAGCGGCGGACGGGUGAGUAACACGUGGAUAACCUACCUAUAAGACUGGGAUAACUUCGGGAAACCGGAGCUAAUACCGGAUAAUAUUUUGAACCGCAUGGUUCAAAAGUGAAAGACGGUCUUGCUGUCACUUAUAGAUGGAUCCGCGCUGCAUUGGCUAGUUGGUAAGGGAACGGCUUACCAAGGCAACGAUGCAUAGCCGACCUGAGAGGGUGAGCGGCCACACUGGAACUGAGACACGGUCCAGACUCCUACGGGAGGCAGCAGUAGGGAAUCUUCCGCAAUGGGCGAAAGCCUGACGGAGCAACGCCGCGUGAGUGAUGAAGGUCUUCGGAUCGUAAAACUCUGUUAUUAGGGAAGAACAUAUGUGUAAGUAACUGUGCACAUCUUGACGGUACCUAAUCAGAAAGCCACGGCUAACUACGUG
rnacentral:rRNA from 1 species